UGGGGAAUUUUGCACAAUGGGGGAAACCCUGAUGCAGCGACGCCGCGUGAUUUAGAAGGCCUUCGGGUUGUAAAAAUCUUUUCUAUGGGAAGAAAAUGACAGUACCAUAGGAAUAAGGACCGGCUAAUUACGUGCCAGCAGCCGCGGUAAUACGUAAGGUCCGAGCGUUGUCCGGAAUCAUUGGGCGUGAAGGGUACGUAGGCGGGUAAGCAAGUUAGAAGUGAAAUCCUAUAGCUCAACUAUAGUAAGCUUUUAAAACUGCUCAUCUUGAGGUAUGGAAGGGAAAGUGGAAUUCCUAGUGUAGCGGUGAAAUGCGCAGAUAUUAGGAGGAAUACCGGUGGCGAAGGCGACUUUCUGGCCAUAACCUGACGCUGAGGUACGAAAGCGUGGGUAGCAAACAGG
rnacentral:rRNA from 1 species